rnacentral:lncRNA from 1 species
GUAAGUUCUCUAACCAACAAUAUCACUAAGUACGUAAAUGAAAACAGUACAGCAUCACCAUGAAAGGAAUAAAAGUUCUUCAAACUGAGAAAAUAACACAAUACUUCAACCAUCAACAUCACAAAUUAAAACAACACGAUACUAGAGAAAUUAAAACAACAGUCACAUUAAAGUAAUUCCAAGACAAAUCAUUUCCUUGCUUCUGGCAUCUUCACAAAUGACGCUCUGAAAUCGGGAUCUAUAAAAGCCUUUAUUGCUUUCAUAUAAAUCUCAUUGGACACCCCUUCCAUAUUGUUUAAGAUGUCUAGGCAAAUAAUAUUUGAAUAAGGAUCCGGAUUAUUAACUUCACUAUCCGAUUAAUUACAUGAUUUUCCUUGGAACUUUGCAAGCUUUUCUUUUAGGUAAAGUAUUCUAAGUUCAAAUUCUUCAUUCCUCAAACUAACUGUAGAUGACCAUUGUGCCAUGCACGUCUCGAGUUUAUCAAUUUUGCUAAUCUUAGGUUCCUUACGUCGGCGUUCACUCAAUAUACCAAUUUCAUCACGUCGAUGAGUAUUUGAAACCUCAUCGACUUCAUCAUCAUUUUCCGCACGUACAUGCACUCCCCUAUUCAAAAAAUCAUCUUCUAGCUAUCUUUCUUCCUCUGAUGUGUUAAGAAGUUGAGUUGAAGCAUUACCUAAUCCUCCAGUAGCUGUAGUCCCUCUAAAUAUCUUCCCAAGAGUGUGAUAGUGCUUACAUAUUCCCUCUCGAACAUCUUGUAAUCCGAUUUGUUAAUCUACUAUUGAAAAAAGAAGCCACAUUGUCAUAGUAAUCAACAAAAAAAUGUAAAAUUGAUAAGCUAAAAACUAAUGACGAAAAUAUUCUUUAAUAAAUAUAUGUUACCGUAUAAAAGUGUUACCAAACUUCAUUUGCAGCAUUAACUUUGUUGAUAUUUGGAUCCCAUAUAAUACCUGUAUGUCCCAAAAGUUCAGAGAACAUUCGAUAAAUCUUACUUAAGCGGUUCCACUUUCCCUUUAAUCUAUCUAUGCCGUAAUCCAUUUUUGUUGAAACUAUCAUGGCUUCAUUGAUCUUGCCCCAUUCGUCUUUCAUGAAUGUAGAAUAUUGCAAUGCGUUUGAUUUCACUUUCUCGUAAAGAAUUUCGAUAAAAGCGUGUUCAUUCUCGUUGGACCAUGACAUUGGUUCCUUAUUCCUAACUCUGUGACCACCCAUGUUAAAGCUAUAUUGAAUAUACAUCAAAUUAAGCAAAACAUAGCAUAUUAGAACAGCCUUACUAUAACAUGUAGCAUAAUUGGAUUUUGUAAAAUGAAGACCAGUAGGAUGCCUAAAACCUUCAAUGCCCAAGAAAUAGCUCAAAGAUCCCAGAAUUUUCAAGCAAACUUGCAAUAAUUUGGAAGUUUCCUUGUAAUAACUAUUGGCUGAUUCAUUAGGAGUUAAGAUUUGACUCAUCGAAACAAUAAAAGUUCCAAUCACUAUCCAUAAGCUUAGAAAGUAAUUAAUACAGUAAUUGAAUCACCAAGACAAGAAGAACAGACUAAUUCAGGAUAAUUGAUUAUUUUCCUUCUUCUCCCUAAUAUGUUUAGGUAAUUGUAGGUGGGGAGAAUUUAACUAAUGAAAACAUAGUUAUCAAAGUAUAUUACUAUAACGUGUUUAAUUACCAAGAAUUCUCAUAAUUUUUCAUUUCAUAAAUACUCAAAUACUUUCAUUUUUGUAGAUGGUGUCAGUGUCAUUAAAGAUACAAUAGCUGAUUUGAUUAUAAUUCUAUAUACAAUUCUCAGUUCAAUCUUGCAAGACACCGUUAAUCACACAAAACCAUAGAUGUGAUCUUCAACAUAACCCAAUCAAACUUCCUUAAUUCUCCAAGUAACACCAUCUUCAAUUCUUACAACAAAUCAUAAAAGACAAUGCAACUCUACAAAAAAAAAAUCAGAGUAUUCUGCGUUCAAAAUAUCCAAACCUUGUCGAUUUCUGUUACAGAAUAGAAGAGAACAAUAACUGUGCUGAAUAUGCAAAAUAACAUUAAUUCCAAUUGAAGACACAACCCAAAAUGUUAGGAAUCCACACAAUAUUUAGAUAUCAAUUUUGAUCAACUUUUAUACACGUUAACAUGAAAAAUCCACCAAAUGGGUUUUACCCAAUUCAGAAACACAAGUAGAACAAAAAAUUCAACAAUCACGCAGAAAUAAAUAUAGAUUUUUGCAGAAAAACUAAAUGGGCUAUCAUCUAUUCGUUCAAAGAACAACAAAUUGAAGGCACAUUAAAAAACCAGCAAACAAACUAAAUAAGUGGUUGGAUUAAUACAGCAAAAUUAAUGUAGUAUGGAUGAAGAACGCUAGCUAUAGUGCCCAAUAAAAGUAGAGGCAGCAAUGAUUUAGUGAAAGCUCACAAAAGAAAUACCUAGAGCAGAAAAUAGGAGCUGAGGAUAGGACAUGAGGAUUGAUCUUCGAGAGUUUUUAGUCUGCGAACGGGGAGGCAGAGGAAACCCUAGGAAAUCUGCUAGGAAUGGGAUAGAGAGUAAAAAGAUAGAGAGAGGU